UACGGGGGGGGUAAGCGUUGUUCGGAAUUACUGGGCGUAAAGGGCUCGUAGGCGGCCAACUAAGUCAGACGUGAAAUCCCUCAGCUUAACUGGGGAACUGCGUCUGAUACUGGAUGGCUUGGAUUCGGGAGAGGAAUGCGGAAUUCCAGGUGUAGCGGUGAAAUGCGUAGAUAUCUGGAGGAACACCGGUGGCGAAGGCGGCAUUCUGGACUGUAACUGACACUGAGGAACGAAAGCCAGGGGAGCAAACGGG
rnacentral:rRNA from 1 species